GUGCCAGCAGCCGCGGUAAUACGUAGGUGGCGAGCGUUGUCCGGAUUUAUUGGGCGUAAAGCGCGCGCAGGCGGUGCGGUAAGUCCGAUGUGAAAGCGCCCGGCUCAACUGGGCGAGGUCAUUGGAGACUGCCGGACUGGAGGGUGGCAGAGGCCGGUGGAAUUCCCGGUAUAGUGGUGAAAUGCGUAGAGAUCGGGAGGAACACCAGUGGCGAAGGCGGCCGGCUGGGCCAUACCUGACGCUGAGGCGCGAAAGCGUGGGGAGCGAACCGGAUUAGAUACCCCUGUAGUCC
rnacentral:rRNA from 1 species